CACGGAUGAUGAUGAUGAUGAUGAUGAUGAUGAUGAUAGUAUCGUCAUUUACCGACAGAAGAAAGGUUUAUGUUAUCAUUACCAUCGCCACCUCUAUCACCUCCA
rnacentral:miRNA from 1 species